AGUACUAACUGCUAGGUAAGCCGUGAUUGAUGGUUUUCUUUUAUAAGCCUUUUGGAGUAAAUUUUCUCACAAGAAGGAGGAGCGCCGUGCCUUCGCCUAGUGGCGAUCUUGCGAACUACUCGCGGCUGUAUAACUAUACAUACAGAUAUGACUAUACAUUAAUUUACCCGAUAUGUUCAAUCUCUGAGAGUUUGUUUUGUCGAAUUUUGUAAACUUCUAGCAUAAGACUGUUGAGCCAAUCAGUUCCCAGCAUAAAGUCGCCAUAUAGAUAUGCAUAAGAUGCUUAUUGGCCUAGAGCUUUUACGCUUAGUACCAUCACACACGAAAUGGCAUAACCUGCAUAUGCAUAGCAUAAGACCGUUCAGCCAAUCAGUUCCCAGUAUAAAGUCGCCAUAUUGAUAUACAUAAGAUGCUUAUUGGCCUAGAGCUCUUAGGCCGGUAUUCAUAGUCGGGUCUUAUAUUUAAGAUCAUCUUAAGUACUGUCUUAAGAUGCCAUCAACCAAUCACAGAGCCGUAUUAGCAUCUUAAGACAUUGCUUGAGACGAUCUUGAAAUAAGAUUUGACUAUGAAUACCGGCCUUAUGCUAUGUUUAUGCAGCUUAUGUCAUUUUGUGUGUGAUAGCCCUUAAGCCUCGUCUACAGAAGUCGCAAGCAGCCAGUGCGACUUGCGACAGCCAAUGAGCGUCUAGUUUCUAGUUAAAGCUCGACAAUCAUUGGCUGUCGCAAGUCGCAACUGGCUGCUUGCGACUUCCGUAGACGAGGCUUUACUCUUUGCUCAAAGAGGAUCAGGGGUUCGAUUCUUGAAUUCAUUCGCAAGAAAACGUAUUCGCAAAUUCUGUUCUUACAGAAAAGUUAGAAAUUUAUUGGCUAUCGUAUGGCUAUUAACCAAUAAACUUACAACUUUCUGUUAGAGCGAGUAUUUGCGUAUACGUUUCUCUUGCGAAUGACUUCAAGAAUCGGGCCCCAGAUAGAGUGGAAGCUGGCCGUAUCCGCCAUCUAGCAGUUCGGAGACUACGUGCCAUCUUUCUCUCUCUUUCUUACAAAGCUUUGUUCUCUCACUCCUUCAAGAUAACCUCCUUUAACAGUUGCGCUUGGUUGUCGUCGGCAGGGGUGGCACUCACUUGGACACGGUUCAAAUGGACACGGUGCAUUUGGAUACGAUGAGCGGGAGACAUGCGAGGGGCCGAGGGGAGCAUAGACGCCUUUCGUCAAGCGUCAAUCGCUGGCCGCUGAACGCACGCUUUCGUAGCAGCCUUGGAGGAAGAGAGACAGACGCUUCUCUCUUCUUAAUAACCGAGUAGCGGCAGGCGUAGCGAAAGCGACCGAGCCGGCCCGAGGCUCGAGGUACGAACGUGACCGACUUGGGUGGUCGGCGGUGUUCUGCGGUGCUCGGCGGAGCCAGGCGGAGCACCCGAGGUGCUCGCGGCCCAAAACUUGCACUACUGCACUUCCCUGCUAAAAACGACCAAUUAAAACCAAUUAGUACCGCAUUUAAAUUCGUAAAUUUCACUCGUUAUCAAUGCGGAUUUAGUUGGUUAAAUCGGACGCCCGAUUGAACUUCAAUCGGUUUCAAUAUCAAGUGAAUUGGGAUUGGAUUCUAUAUGGUACUUCCGGAUUAAUUUUAAUCGGGUGUUAUUGGAUUAAAUUGUUGAGUUGAUCCUGAAUUGCAUUGAAUAUGGUCUUUCCGAAUUGACUUCAACUGGGCGCUAUUGGUUUUGACUGGACAAGUAUUUUCAACAUUUUGAAUUGGACUGAAUGUGAUAUUUCCGAAUUUAGUUCAAUCGGGCGCUAUGGGUUUUGAUUUUUAGAUUAUAUGCACAGUCUUGACUUGGAUUGAAUCUGGUAUUUCCGAAUUGAUUUCAACUGGGCGCUAUUGGUUUUGACUAAACAAGUAUUUUCAGCCUUCUGAAUUGGACUGAAUGUGAUAUUUCCGAAUUUAGUUCAAUCGGCCACUAUCGGUUUUAUUUUUUAAAUUAUAUGCACAAUCUUGACUUGGAUUGAGUAUGACAUUUCCGAAUUGACUUCAAUCGAGUGAUAUUGGUUUGGAUUGUACACAUAAUUCCAAAAUUUUGAAUUGGAUUGAAUGGGGUAUUUCCGAAUGUAGUUUAACCGGACACUAUCGGUUUUGUUUGUUAAAUUGUGCUUAAAUUUUAAUUGGAUUAAAUACGGUAUUUUCGAAAUAACUUCAAUCAGACGCUGUCGGUUUUAAUUGUUAGAAAUAUUUUUACUUUUUACAAUUUUGAAUUGGAUUGAAUGUGGUUUUUACAAUUUAAUUUUAAUCUAACGCUAUUUGUUUCAAUUGUACAAUUCUACCUCCAUUAAAAUUGUAUUUUUAUGUUACCUUUAUUUAGAUGCUGUUAGUAGUUUAAUAAACUUUAUGUUUCUUUAAAAUUAUAAUUUAAAUAAAAUUAUUGAAUUACU
rnacentral:lncRNA from 1 species